GGUUUAUUAAGUGUUUAAACCGAAUUGAUUGAAUAGUCAAUCUAAUCCCUGACAUAUUAAAAGAGAAUCAUUACAACAUUUGAAAUAACCAUUAGUCAUCACCACAAUGGUUCUUAGAAUCCUUAGAUAAAUAUGUUGAUUCAUCUAAAUAUAUAAUAAGUUUUUAACAUUGUCUUGGAUUUUCUUCCUACUACAGGUGCUAGAGUCACUCUCUAAGUAUUGCGUUUUGUUACAUGCAAGGGUUGAUCCCACGACUUUCUCAGUUACAUGUAUCUUUUCAUUUUAAACGUCUAGGACUAUAGAUUUACUUAUCAGUUUAUCACUCUAUCUGGUAUAAGACAUUAGUGUGCGUAUUGUUGAUUUUCUUGAGUUCCUUACAUCGGUGUUUUAAGUCCAAUAUGCCUAUAUUCCUUGUAUCACAGCCAUUGGAUCCAAUGGUGUACAUGUUUAGAGUAAUGGUAAAGAUUAUAUGUAUUAAUUUUUUUUUUAAGACAAAGAGUAUUGAAAGCAAAAAGUGCAAAGUUUUGGUUUUUUCCUUUGUUCAGAUGGAUUUAUAGGUCCUGUAGACCUCACGUCCGGCUUAAAAAAGGCAUGGUUGGGAGUUCAUAUACUUGAAACAACUGCAAGCAUCUUGGAAGAAAACAGUGAUGGGACUGCUGAAAUUAAAGGUUAUACUUGGAGCCGGUUCUGUUGAGGCAAAAAAGAAGGAUGGAAAGGACCUGAAAAAUAGAAUUUGGGAAUGAUCUCGAAUUGAUUGUCAUAAAAAGAUUGACCCAGAUUUUUAAUUGGAUUGAGAAGAGGUUUCCUGCAUCUUCUAGGUUCUAUGAGGUAGCAUCCAAGGCUUUGAUGAUUCAAGAAUGUUUAUCAUGAACAAAUCUGCUGGGGAGAUUGUCAUCGGUGAGAAGGUGAUAAAGAAGCUGCAGGUUUUGCUGGUGUCGUGACUAUUGUCUGCUUUUGCAUCCCUACUCUCUUGAAGAAUUAUAAGUGGCUAAUUUUCUUGAUCAAUAUAGAAGAAAAAGUGGAGGUGAAGGAGGUUCUGAGGUCUCUGGAGGAAAAAAUGUUGGAAAAUUCAAACGAUAUCAAACUUCUUCAGCUGGAGGCCUCAACAAUGAGGGAAUUGAGUUAUGUGAUGGAAACCUCUUCUUCGGCAAAUACAAACGAUAUCAAACUUCUUCAGCUGGAGGCCUCAAAAAUGAGGGAAUAGAGAUCUGUGAUGGAGGAGCUUUCUCUCUCUUGCUUUAGAGAGAGAUUUCUCUCUCGACCUUUUCCUCUGUUUAUCAUUUCUAUAUCUUUUAGAGGAAAGGUUAGAGAUUAGCUCCUCUGUUUUGAUGUAAUAUAUUCGAUCCAAGGAUCGAUUUUCUUUUCCGUUUGCGGAUCUAGAUUUCGCAUAGGCGAAUUUGUACUUUCGCAAGGCGAUUUUCUUUUUGUUGUGUUUUUCUUCGAUCCAAAACAGAGCAUCUCUUAAAGUUUCAUCCUUUAUCUCUGUUUUCUUUGGAUUGAAUAAUAAUUGUCAAAGCUUCAACUCUCUCCUUCUUGUUAUAUCCCGGCUGCUUCCCUUGAAGUUUCCUUUAAUUGUUGGUUAUGCUCAGUCUCUAUCUUCCGACGAUAUCAACCUUUGCAGUACAUCUUUCCGGCAAAGUUUUCUUAGGAGAUUCAGAUUCGAGUUUUGCUAAAUAACUUUGUUGUUUUCAAUCCGACCUAAGAAUAGUCAAAGCUUGCAAAUAGGCAGGUGUUUUGGCAAUGGCGGCUUCAAAGCUAUAGAAGUUAUUAGGAGAUUUUCACAUCCAACAAAUAGAAAGAACCUAC